CUUGGAGAUGUAAAGGGAGAGAAGCUCACCAGGGAAAAUUUGGAGGAGGAAGUGAACCUCACAAUCUCUAGCAUGCAGAUACUGAAAGACUUCAUGGGGGAGAGGAAUGACAUGUAUAAGGAGCUACAGGCAAGACAGACAGCAUUGGAGACCAGAUUCUGUUCCCAGAAACCUGUCCUGCUGCUUCUCAUGCCCCAGCAGCUUCAGUAAUACAUGUUUCCUGGAAAAACAUUUCACCGCCAGCAUGCUGCCUGCCUCAGACAACUUGGGGCCAAGCAGGAAAUUUACAGGUGAGCUCUCAGUAUAAUGCCUGUAGGUUCCAUACU
rnacentral:lncRNA from 1 species